GGGGUUGUGGUUCAGCGGUGGAGCGCUCGCCUAGCUCGUGCGAGGUUCUGGGGUCCAUCCUCAGCAACCACA
rnacentral:tRNA from 1 species